rnacentral:rRNA from 1 species
UAGGGAAUCUUCGGCAAUGGGCGAAAGCCUGACCGAGCAACGCCGCGUGAGCGAUGAAGGCCUUCGGGUCGUAAAGCUCUGUUGUUAGAGAAGAACAAGUACGAGAGUAACUGCUCGUACCUUGACGGUACCUAACCAGAAAGCCACGGCUAACUACGUGCCAGCAGCCGCGGUAAUACGUAGGUGGCAAGCGUUAUCCGGAAUUAUUGGGCGUAAAGCGCGCGCAGGCGGUCUCUUAAGUCUGAUGUGAAAGCCCACGGCUCAACCGUGGAGGGUCAUUGGAAACUGGGAGACUUGAGUGCAGGAGAGAAAAGUGGAAUUCCACGUGUAGCGGUGAAAUGCGUAGAGAUGUGGAGGAACACCAGUGGCGAAGGCGGCUUUUUGGCCUGUAACUGACGCUGAGGCGCGAAAGCGUGGGGAGCGAAACAGGAUUAGAUACCCUGGUAGUCCACGCCGUAAACGAUGAGUGC